rnacentral:rRNA from 1 species
UGGGGAAUAUUGCACAAUGGGCGAAAGCCUGAUGCAGCGACGCCGCGUGAGGGAUGACGGCCUUCGGGUUGUAAACCUCUUUCAGCUCCGACGAAGGGUGACUGACGGUAGGAGCAGAAGAAGCGCCGGCCAACUACGUGCCAGCAGCCGCGGUAAGACGUAGGGCGCAAGCGUUGUCCGGAUUUAUUGGGCGUAAAGAGCUCGUAGGCGGCUUGUCGCGUCGACUGUGAAAACCCGCGGCUCAACCGUGUGGUCUGCAGUCGAUACGGGCAGGCUAGAGUUCGGUAGGGGAGACUGGAAUUCCUGGUGUAGCGGUGAAAUGCGCAGAUAUCAGGAGGAACACCGGUGGCGAAGGCGGGUCUCUGGGCCGAUACUGACGCUGAGGAGCGAAAGCGUGGGGAGAGAACAGG